GGCAAUAGGGGACUACAAAUCUGGUCAGAAAAAUUUCCCUAAGUUGUGACGAGUUGAAUAGAACUUAGAUGUGGCGAAAAGGUGGUUGGAAAUAGACCCAUUGCUCACCGCUCAAUUUCUCCACUAGUGUCGACAUUUCAAGAGUUGUUAUCACCGAUGCUUGUCGACAUUACAAGGUGGUUGGAAAUAAGAGCUGCCUAAGGAUGUUGAGGUCAUUACCAUCAUUGACACUGUUGAUUUUGGCUGGAAGAAACAAAC
rnacentral:misc_RNA from 1 species